rnacentral:rRNA from 1 species
AUGCCCUCCAGGCUGUUAAAUGAAAUACUAUUGCAUCAUCUAAAUGAAUGUGAAUUUAGUUUCAGGUUAAGAGUUGGCCGCGCCCCUCCAGAUAGGGCACCCUGUCAAAGCAGAGCGACUCCAUUAGAAGAAACAAUCAGGAGGUAUGCUGAUAAACCCUUGGAGAAUGUGGUGAAGCCAGAGAUUGGGAUGAGUUUUGACUCACUUGGGGAGGCAUACGAUUUCUAUAACCUGUAUUCUUGGGAGCUUGGAUUUGGUAUAAGAUAUGGAAAGAGCCGUCUGAAUGUUGAGCAGACAAAGUGUAUGCAGGAGAUCGUUUGUGGAUGCUCGGGGAAACCUGAACAGCAGAAUAGCAGGUCUUGUCAGUGUGAGUGUCCUGCAAUGAUCAGAUUGCUCAGAGCUGCGAACUAUGGAUGGUACAUUGCUGAGUACCACUCCAGCCACAACCAAUUCAUUUUCUCUGACCUGUGGUGA